rnacentral:rRNA from 1 species
CCUACGGGUGACAGCAGUGAGGAAUAUUGGUCAAUGGGCGUAAGCCUGAACCAGCCAAGUCGCGUGAGGGAUGAAGGUUCUAUGGAUCGUAAACCGCUUUUAUAAGGGAAUAAAGUGUGGGACGUGUCCGAUGUUGUAUGUACCUUAUGAAUAAGGAUCGGCGAACGCCGUGCAAGCAGCCGCGGUAAUACGGAGGAUCCGAGCGUUCUACGGAUUGAUUGGGGUUAAAGGGUGCGUAGGCGGCCUUUUAAGUCAGCGGUGAAAGUCUGUGGCUCCACCCUAGAAUGGCCGUUGAAACUGGUGGGCUUGAGUAUGUUUGAGUCAGGCGGACUUCGUGUUGUAGCGGU